AAAAAAAAAGUAUACAAAAAAGUAUAAAUUUCAUAAAAGGAUGAAACUCGUCAACUUCCAUUAGCCAUAUCGAACAUGUUAAAUUGAGCUUUGCUUCACGUGUUAUCUGCUCCGUCGUCAUUGUCCUCCUCUUAUACUCCUUUUCCAUUGCACACACUCAAAAAAAAAAAAAACAGGAUUGAAAUUUUUCACUGUGCAUAUAUUUUUAUAAUAAUUCUAUGUAAACACACCACAUUUCCGUGAGCACAUGUUGUCCUUUGUAGGAAAGUGAAAAUGCCCUGACAAUGUCAACACCAUCCUAGAGGAGCUCUCUGCUGACAUGCAUCAGAAAGGACACUGAUGUGUGUCCCUACAUAUGGAUGUUGAAAAGGGAAAAAAUUUGCAAACACAAAAUUAAAAAAAGAAAGUAAAAAAAAAAUAAUCGGAUUUGAUUUAAUUGAGCAAAUGUUGGGAUCCGCUUCCGUAUUGUUUCGAUAAGAGGAUCAUCAGUGAAAAUUAUAUUUUUUAAACAAAAAAUAAAAAUUUACCGGAAAUUGAUUAAUGGUUCUUUAGAUGUUUUGAUUUUUCCAUUGGAAAUGGUUGAAAUGUAUUUUUUGAACUAAGGAA